rnacentral:rRNA from 1 species
GAUGAACGCUGGCGGCGUGCCUAAUACAUGCAAGUCGAGCGAACAGACGAGGAGCUUGCUCCUCUGACGUUAGCGGCGGACGGGUGAGUAACACGUGGAUAACCUACCUAUAAGACUGGGAUAACUUCGGGAAACCGGAGCUAAUACCGGAUCAUAUAUUGAACCGCAUGGUUCAAUAGUGAAAGACGGUUUUGCUGUCACUUCUAGAUGGAUCCGCGCCGCAUUAGCUAGUUGGUAAGGUAACGGCUUACCAAGGCGACGAUGCGUAGCCGACCUGAGAGGGUGGUCGGCCACACUGGAACUGAGACACGGUCCAGACUCCUACGGGAGGCAGCAGUAGGGAAUCGGCCGCAAUGGGCGAAAGCCUGACGGAGCAACGCCGCGGGAGUGAUGAAGGUCUUCGGAUCGUAAAACUCUGUUAGUAGGGAAGAACAAAUGUGUAAGUAAAUAUGCACGUCGUGACGGUACCUGAACAGAAAGCCACGGCUAACUACGUG